rnacentral:rRNA from 1 species
UACGUAGGGGGCUAGCGUUGUCCGGAAUCACUGGGCGUAAAGGGCGUGUAGGCGGGAAGGUAAGUCGGGCGUGAAAUCCCUGAGCUCAACUCAGGAACUGCACUCGAAACUACUUUUCUUGAGUGCCGGAGAGGAAAGCGGAAUACCUGGUGUAGAGGUGAAAUUCGUAGAUAUCAGGUGGAACACCAGUGGCGAAGGCGGCUUUCUGGACGGUAACUGACGCUGAGGAGCGAAAGUGUGGGGAGCGAACAGG